GUUAUAGGGUCAAGUGACUAAGAGCAUGUGGUGGAUGCCUUGGCGAUUACAGGCGACGAAAGACGUGAUAGCCUGCGAUAAGCUUCGGGGAGCUGGCAAAUAAGCUUUGAUCCGGAGAUUUCUGAAUGGGGAAACCCACCUCGCAAGAGGUAUCGCAUACUGAAUACAUAGGUAUGCGAGGCGAACCGGGUGAACUGAAACAUCUCAGUAGCUCGAGGAAAAGACAUCAACCGAGAUUCCGAAAGUAGUGGCGAGCGAAAUCGGAAGAGCCUUCUAGUGAUAGCACGACUGUUAGCAAAACGGGAUGGAAAGCCCGGCCAUAGCAGGUGAUAGCCCUGUAUGCGAAAACAGACGUGUGGUACUAAGUUAGAGA
rnacentral:rRNA from 1 species